UACGGGGGGGGUAAGCGUUGUUCGGAAUUACUGGGCGUAAAGGGCUCGUAGGCGGCCAACUAAGUCGGACGUGAAACCCCUCAGCUUAACUGGGGAACUGCGUCCGAUACUGGAUGGCUUGGAUUUGGGAGAGGGAUGCGGAAUUCCAGGUGUAGCGGUGAAAUGCGUAGAUAUCUGGAGGAACACCGGUGGCGAAGGCGGCAUCCUGGACCAAUAUUGACGCUGAGGAGCGAAAGCUAGGGGAGCAAACGGG
rnacentral:rRNA from 1 species